rnacentral:tRNA from 1 species
GGGCCCAUAGCUCAUUUGGUAGAGCGAACGAAUGGCAUUCGUUAGGUGAGGGGUUCAAAUCCCCUUGGGUCCA